rnacentral:rRNA from 1 species
UACAGAGGUCCCAAGCGUUGUUCGGAUUCACUGGGCGUAAAGGGUGCGUAGGUGGCGAGGUAAGUCGGAUGUGAAAGCUCGGAGCUCAACUCCGAAAUGGCAUUGGAAACUACCUUGCUCGAGGGUUGGAGGGGGGACUGGAAUGCUUGGUGUAGCAGUGAAAUGCGUAGAUAUCAAGCGGAACACCAGUGGCGAAGGCGAGUCCCUGGACAACUCCUGACACUGAGGCACGAAAGCUAGGGGAGCAAACGGG